UACAGAGGGCGCGAGCGUUAAUCGGCAUUACUGGGCGUAAAGCGCACGUCGGUGGCGACGUAAGUCGGGUGUGAAAGCCCCGGGCUCAACCUGGGAAUUGCAUUCGAGACUGCAUUGCUGGAGUACGGAAGAGGAGGGCGGAAUUCCCGGUGUAGCGGUGAAAUGCGUAGAUAUCGGGAGGAACAUCAGUGGCGAAGGCGGCCCUCUGGUCCAGUACUGACACUCAAGUGCGAAAGCGUGGGGAGCAAACAGG
rnacentral:rRNA from 1 species